CAGUCGCCGCGGUAAUACGUAGGGUGCGAGCGUUGUCCGGAAUUACUGGGCGUAAAGGGCUCGUAGGUGGUUUGUCGCGUCGUCUGUGAAAUUCCGGGGCUUAACUCCGGGCGUGCAGGCGAUACGGGCAUAACUUGAGUACUGUAGGGGUAACUGGAGUUCCUGGUGUAGCGGUGAAAUGCGCAGAUAUCAGGAGGAACACCGAUGGCGAAGGCAGGUUACUGGGCAGUUACUGACGCUGAGGAGCGAAAGCAUGGGUAGCGAACAGGAUUAGAUACCCCGGUAGUCCCUGUCUCUUAUA
rnacentral:rRNA from 1 species